rfam:Astyanax mexicanus Tnplaced_Scaffold_5067, whole genome shotgun sequence.
UACAUCAUUAUUUGUAAGUCGCUUUGGAUAAAAGCAUCUGCCAAAUGUUAUGUC